GAGAGAUUGGAGAGGUAGAUUCGCACGGUGAUAGUGCAAGCAGCUUGCUUCUAAUUAAAUAUGCGACUGAGUCUCAAAGCAUUUGCUUUCAGCCGCAGAGAGAAGAAGCUGCCCAAGAAUGGAAAGGAAGAAAUAUAUCUCACAUCAUCUGUCUGUCCAGAGCAUUUCCUUUGGGUUUAUGGAGCUUUCUCUUGGGCAACUCACUGAAAACCAAAGGACAGCCCAGACUUCAGAACACAACAAUCUUGCCAAAAUACUCUGUUAUGUACCUUGAAGGAUUUUUUUGGCUGUUCCACAUGAAUUCACAUUUCUUCAUUUCUUCUGACAUAAUUUCAACAACACAGAACAUUUCAAGCACAAGUUGUACCAAAUAAGGGGCUACUUCUUAUUUGGACUGAGCCCAGAACCCUGGAGCCAGAAACCGGGGAACACUUCACAGGACUUCUCCCUAACUGGCUUGUUGUGACAUCAUCAGUUUCGCGAAACAACUUCCUUUACCAGAUGUACA